ensembl:lncRNA
CUCGCUGCACUAAGCUUGUAUUUGUUGGCUGCAAUAUGGUAAUGUGAAAAGGUACAUUCUUAAAUGCUGCACUGCAGAGGUGGCAGCAGAGGGGCAGUCUGACACAAUGGCACCUGACAUGGAACUGCAUAUGAAGCAAAGAUGUGAAAUUUAAUUCCUCCCUGCAGAAAAGGCGACAGACGGUGACAUUCACUGAUGCUUGCUGAACAUCUGUGGAGACCUAACAGUGGAAGUGAGCACCAUGAGGUGAUGAGUGGUGUGUUUCAGCAGUGGUGACAGCAACAGUGAAUUACCUCAGCUGAUGCAUGGAUUUACCAUGGGCCUAAUCAACAUGAUAGCCUCCUGUGCCCCAGGCCCUGUGGUGCUGGAGUUGAUGUUCUGCCAAGCAGAGGACCACUGACUGUGCCAGACAGAGAGGGUGGUUGUCCUUGGCAGCAGAACUACAAAGCAGAUGUUGAGAUGUGCUGCAUACUUUGCUCAACUCAGAUCAGUAGAAGAGCUCAGAGGGUUGUCAUCAGUGACACAGAGUCUGAUUAGAAGCCUGGAACUAGUGGUGUUCCCCAGGAGCUGGUGCUGGAUCUGAUCUUGUUCAACAACAUUGUUAACAACCUGGAUGAAGAGAUAGUCUCCAUCCUCAGCAAGUUUGCUGAUGAUACAAAGCUGGGAGGACAUCCAGACACACUGGAAGGCUGUGUUACCAUUCAACAAGACCUGGACAGGCUGGAGAGUUGGGAAGAGAGGAAAGGUUCAACAAAAGCAAGUAUAGAGUCUUACAUCUGGGGAGGACUAACUGCAUGCAUCAGUACAGAUAAUCCAGCAAGUUACCAGGCCAAAUGGCUCUCUGAACACGAGCCCACAAAGCGCUGAAUGAGGAAGUGCACUGCUCCAGGAGAUUUCAGCACAGCCAGCCAGAAGGUGGCUUUAGCAGUGGUGCUAGAAACAAAAAAAUGGCUUGAAACGGUCACGUGCUGGCUGGCUGGCAGCUGGGUCCAAGGAUUGAAGGUAAAAGACACAGAGGUGGAAAUGAAACACAAGGUCAUUUAAUUUACAAUCCUUCAUUUUGCUCAGCAACUUUUUGACUAGUAUCAUUUUAACACUAUUGAUGAUCUCAACUGAUUAUUUCCUGUAGAGAGUGUUCACAGCCUAAUAUUAAUUGCACAACACUGUAAAAUUUCCAAAAAAUUUGAAGGGGUUAAAACAAAAUGGUACUGCAGCUUUCUGCUAUUAGAUAUCUGCUAAUGGGAGCACAUGAUGAAGGUUAGAGUAAAUUAAUUGCUUGAUUAUACAACCCUUGGAUCUUGCGUUCAUAGGCUAAGUAACAAAUCAGUGUUUCUGUAUAUUUUUAUUCUAAUUACAUAAUGAUAUAGUAGAGUGUAGGGACAGUCAUCCCAAUGGUAAUUUUUAAUUGUGGAAGUUCAGAGACUUCUGGGUAGGUUGGAACAGUAGCUGAACCUGCUGCUCUGUUUUUGGUUUUGCUCACACUGAAAUGUAGGAAAGCCUCUUAGUGGGAUGCAUGCAUGCAUGUCUAGGAAUACUGGCACUGCUUGGUUUCACUAAUUUUUUUUUUUUUAAUAGACAAAGUGGAUUUUCUGCCCAACUUAGAAACAUAAAUCUGCCAAGAUGUAUAACAAAGACUAAGUCAUGGACAAAGCAGCCAGAGGAAACUCUGAAACUGUCUGAUAGCACUGGGGUAACAGAACGUCACACUAAGCUGCAACACCUCAUCCGCCAGCAAGCUCCUUUGGACUGUAGCUGCCCUAUAACGUUUCUCACAUAUGCAUGGAACUAUGAAAUUCAGUGUUCCAGCACAACAUUAGUUAGAUUUAGCUUUGGUGCUUGGCUGCUGGUUACUGCUGAAAAAACAGAGGUUUGCUUUGCUAAAGCAUCCAAAAUGAAAUUUGCUUGCUGUUGCUGCACUAAGUUGCCAUCCAGCAUGCACUGAAGAAAAAAAUCCUGGUUAUUUUCCCAUGGCUCCCUUAGCCAUACAAGUGCUAGGUGGGAAUGCACCUUCCUUGUGAAAAUGGACUGUGGAGAACAGAUCAGCUGGAUUCUCAGGUUGUUCUCCUGGGGCCUUGGCAGGCUGGGACUCAGAGCUGCAGGCAGCCUCCCUUCCACUCAACCUCUGCAGGGUGAGCAAAACAGUGCUUCUACCUCCAUGUAGCUCUGUUUUGUAUAUGUCCUCUGUUCACUGCAAACAUAUGAAAGACACAUGUUUUAUUGCAGAUUUUUUUGGCAUGCAGACAAAGUGCAAGGAGAGGGGCUAAUUAGGCUUCAGGGUGGCACCUCCCUCUAGCAUCAUAAAUAAAAGCUAUUUAACAAAAAAUAUAAUAGGAUGCCAGUAAAAAUGCUUGGAAAUAGAAUUACAAUAGCCAAACUUGUAUUUUGUAAGUUGUUUACCAUAAAUGAAAUAAAGUACAAAGGAAAUGGAAAAUGUGGUAACUGUACUGAAUGCCUUUAUAUAGUUUUCAGAUGCCUCUCGGAGUUAUAUUUUAUUUCCUCUCAAUAUGUUUAUAGACUCUGUGUGGAAGGUCAUACUAUUUUUCCCUAGAGUUUUUUUCCUUCUGUCUUGGCUAAACCUUCCUAGAAGAGUUUUGGAACUUGGCAGUGUAAGAAACUUAAGACAGAGAAGCAGACUUCCCUUCCUAGACAUAUGUCAAUUUGAAAAUAUGAAAAAAAAAAGUUGCAGUAAAUAUAAAUCAAACACCAUGUGAUCUGCAGCAAAGUAGAGGGUUUUACCUAUCAAUCAGCUCUGAAGAUCCCAAAUUUAGUGCAACUAUGUUGAAGAUCACCAUCCUAUCUGCAGUCUCUACGUAGCUCUUAUGAUGACUAAUAUACCUUUCUUAUCUAAAACUAUUAGAGAAUGCUUUUUGCAAGUUAGCACUGGCAGUCACAAGUGAGUGGACACCAUCAUUUUUAACUUAGGUAACAUUCCAACAAAGUAACUGUGUCAUAUCCUUGUGUCAAGAAGGCUCUAGAUCUGAGACUUACCAGGCUAAGGUACAAACAAGAACUGGC